rnacentral:rRNA from 1 species
UACGGGGGGGAGCAAGCGUUGUUCGGAAUUACUGGGCGUAAAGGGCUCGUAGGCGGCCAACUAAGUCGGACGUGAAAUCCCUCGGCUUAACCGGGGAACUGCGUGUGAUACUGGCGGGCUUGAAUUCGGGAGAGGGAUGUGGAAUUCCAGGUGUAGCGGUGAAAUGCGUAGAUAUCUGGAGGAAUACCGGUGGCGAAGGCGGCCUUCUGGACAGUGACUGACGCUGAAACGCGAAAGCGUGGGGAGCAAACAGG